GGUUAAGCGACUAAGCGUACACGGUGGAUGCCCUGGCAGUCAGAGGCGAUGAAGGACGUGCUAAUCUGCGAAAAGCGCCGGCGAGGUGAUAUGAACCUUUGACCCGGCGAUGUCCGAAUGGGGAAACCCAGUGUGAUUCGUCACACUAUCGUUAACUGAAUACAUAGGUUAACGAGGCGAACCGGGGGAACUGAAACAUCUAAGUACCCCGAGGAAAAGAAAUCAACCGAGAUUCCCCCAGUAGCGGCGAGCGAACGGGGAGCAGCCCGGAGUCUGAAUCAGCUUGUGUGUUAGUGGAACGGUCUGGAAAGUCCGACGGUACAGGGUGAUAGUCCCGUACACGAAAAUGCACAGGUUGUGAACUCGAAGAGUAGGGCGGGACACGUGGUAUCCUGUCUGAAUAUGGGGGGACCAUCCUCCAAGGCUAAAUACUCCUGACUGACCGAUAGUGAACCAGUACCGUGAGGGAAAGGCGAAAAGAACCCCGGCGAGGGGAGUGAAAAAGAACCUGAAACCGUGUACGUACAAGCAGUGGGAGCCUCUUUUAUGGGGUGACUGCGUACCUUUUGUAUAAUGGGUCAGCGACUUAUAUUCUGUAGCAAGGUUAACCGUAUAGGGGAGCCGAAGGGAAACCGAGUCUUAACUGGGCGUUAAGUUGCAGGGUAUAGACCCGAAACCCGGUGAUCUAGCCAUGGGCAGGUUGAAGGUUGGGUAACACUAACUGGAGGACCGAACCGACUAAUGUUGAAAAAUUAGCGGAUGACCUGUGGCUGGGGGUGAAAGGCCAAUCAAACCGGGAGAUAGCUGGUUCUCCCCGAAAGCUAUUUAGGUAGCGCCUCGUGAACUCAUCUUCGGGGGUAGAGCACUGUUUCGGCUAGGGGGCCAUCCCGGCUUACCAACCCGAUGCAAACUACGAAUACCGAAGAAUGUUAUCACGGGAGACACACGGCGGGUGCUAACGUCCGUCGUGAAGAGGGAAACAACCCAGACCGCCAGCUAAGGUCCCAAAGUCAUGGUUAAGUGGGAAACGAUGUGGGAAGGCACAGACAGCCAGGAUGUUGGCUUAGAAGCAGCCAUCAUUUAAAGAAAGCGUAAUAGCUCACUGGUCGAGUCGGCCUGCGCGGAAGAUGUAACGGGGCUAAACCAUGCACCGAAGCUGCGGCAGCGAC
rnacentral:rRNA from 1 species